rnacentral:rRNA from 1 species
UACAGAGGGGGCCAGCGUUAUUCGGAAUUAUUGGGCGUAAAGGGCGCGUAGGCGGCUUUGCGUGUCUUUCGUGAAAUCCCUCGGCUCAACUGAGGACGUGCGGAAGAAACUGCAGGGCUGGAGUUCGGGAGAGGUGAGUGGAACUGCGAGUGUAGAGGUGAAAUUCGUAGAUAUUCGCAAGAACACCAGUGGCGAAGGCGGCUCACUGGCCCGAUACUGACGCUGAGGCACGAAAGCGUGGGGAGCAAACAGG